rnacentral:rRNA from 1 species
ACGGAAGGCAGCAGUGGGGAAUAUUGGGCAAUGGGGGAAACCCUGACCCAGCAACGCCGCGUGAGGGAAGAAGGCUUUCGGGUUGUAAACCUCUUUUACCAGGGACGAAGAACGUGACGGUACCUGGAGAAAAAGCAACGGCUAACUACGUGCCAGCAGCCGCGGUAAUACGUAGGUUGCAAGCGUUGUCCGGAUUUACUGGGUGUAAAGGGCGUGUAGGCGGAGCUGCAAGUCAGAUGUGAAAUCCCGGGGCUCAACCCCGGAACUGCAUUUGAAACUGUCGCCCUUGAGUGUCGGAGAGGUAGACGGAAUUCCUAGUGUAGCGGUGAAAUGCGUAGAUAUUAGGAGGAACACCAGUGGCGAAGGCGGUCUACUGGACGAUAACUGACGCUGAGGCGCGAAAGCGUGGGGAGCAAACAGGAUUAGAUACCCUGGUA